UACGGGGGGGGCAAGCGUUGUUCGGAAUUACUGGGCGUAAAGGGCUCGUAGGCGGCCAACUAAGUCAGACGUGAAAUCCCCAGGCUCAACCUGGGAACUGCGUCUGAUACUGGAUGGCUUGAGUUUGGGAGAGGGAUGCGGAAUUCCAGGUGUAGCGGUGAAAUGCGUAGAUAUCUGGAGGAACACCGGUGGCGAAGGCGGCAUCCUGGACCAACACUGACACUGAGGAGCGAAAGCCAGGGGAGCAAACGGG
rnacentral:rRNA from 1 species